rnacentral:misc_RNA from 1 species
GCGGGCGGCCCCAGGGGGGGCCGUAGCCUCCCUCAGGGGAGGUGCCCGCCGGAGGACACACAAACUAUACUUGAAUUAUUGGCCCUUCUGAGAACAAGCUUCAAUAAUCAAAACUUUCAACAACGGAUCUCUUGGUUCUGGCAUCGAUGAAGAACGCAGCGAAAUGCGAUAAGUAAUGUGAAUUGCAGACUUCAGUGAAUCAUCGAAUCUUUGAACGCACAUUGCGCCCGCCAGCAUUCUGGCGGGCAUGCCUGUCCGAGCGUCAUUUCAACCCUCAAGCUCAGCUUGGUGUUGGGGCACUACGGCUCAGCCGUAGGCCCUGAAAUUUAGUGGCGGGCUCUCUGGGAGUCCGGGCGUAGUAGCAAUAUGUCGCCCGCGGUCCCCGGAGCGCUCCGGCCGUUAACUCCCAAAUUU